AACGCAAAUUGCGCCUUCUUUCGGAAGGCAUGUCUGUUUGAGGGCACCAUCUAACAAAUAAUGUGCGCGUCGUUUUUACGAGCGAUGUGCACACGUUGAUGAGCUUUUCCGAAAAAACCAGGUUUUUUUGGUGGCGCAUAAUGAACAGCGUGGGCUUUUUCUUCGAUUCUCGUGUAGUAAAUUUCCAAACAACGCUUGGGUUGAGAAGAAGUGCGUGCCGCGCAAUGGGUGUGGCGAAUUUUACCCCUGCCCCAAUGCCACUCUUUCCCUGCGAAAGAACAAUCUUUUAUUCAGGGCCUCAAAUCAGACAAGAGUACCCGCUGAACUUAA
rnacentral:misc_RNA from 1 species